UUGGCUCACCGGAAACGAAGAAGAGUAUGGAACGAAAGGGAUUGCAUAUCAUUAGUCCUACGGAGUUUGAGCGUACACUUGUUGGCGACUCAAUCGUGUUCGCCUUGGUAGUCAUGGAGGUUUCAUCUAACUCCACAAUAGAGAGCCCUGCUGAAGUCCAGUCGAUCCUUCAGGAGUUUCGAGAUAUCUUUCCGGAGGACCUACUUGAUCAUCUACCUUCUCUAAGAGACAUUCAACAUGCCAUAGAUUUCGUCCUAGGAGCAUCCCUUCCAAAUUUGCCUCAUUAUAGGAUGAAUCCUAUCGAGCAUGCUGAACUCCAAAGACAAGUAGAUGACCUCCUUCACAAAGGAUUCAUUCAUGAGAGUUUAAGCCCGUGUGCUGUCCCUGCCCUAUUGACGCCAAAAAAAGAUGGUUCUUGGAGAAUGUGUGUGGAUAGUCGUGCUAUCAAUAGGAUAACGGCGAAGUGUCGUUUUUCCAUUCCCAGGCUUGAUGAUAUGCUAGAUAUGAUGGUUGGUGCGACAAUCUUUUCGAAGAUCAAUAUCAAGAGUGGAUACCAUCAGAUUAGAAUUCACCCAGGUGAUGAAUGGAAGACCGCGUUUAAAAUGAAAGAUGGUCUUUAUGAAUGGCUGGUCAUGCCUUUUGGGCUAAGUAAUGCGCCAAGUACCUUUAUGCGGGUAAUGACACAAACUCUUCGACCUUUCAUGGGAAAGUUUCUUGUGGUCUAUUUUGAUGAUAUCCUCAUCAACACCGUGACCACCUCACACAAGUUUGCUCUACCCUUCGUGUAACUAAUCUGUAUGCUAACGUUAAGAAGUGCUUUUUCUCCACCGAUACAGUCGUUUAUCUGGGGUUCAUUGUCUCUUCGACAGGGGUAUCUGCUGACCCUGUGAAGGUUCAAGCAAUUAUUGACUGGCCUGAGCCUAAAGCUAUUAAUGACGUCAGGAGCUUUCACGGCUUAACAACAUUUUACCUUCGCUUUAUCAAGGGAUUUAGCACUAUUAUGGCGCCUAUCACAAAGUGCAUGAAGAAAGGGGAGUUUCGUUGGACACAAGAGGUGGCUAAGGCCUUUAAGUUGGUCAAAAGGCGAAUGACGUAGGCUCCUGUCAUGCAUCUUCCCGACUUUUCCAUAAUCUUUGAAGUUGAAUGUGAUGCCUCCGGGGUAGGUAGAGGCAGAGUCUUGAAUCAGGAUCGUCACCCUGUUGCCUACUUCAAUGAAAAGUUAAAUGAAGCCAAACAGCGGCACUCAACUUAUGAUAAGAAACUGUAUGCAGUGAUCCAAGCUUUGCACUAUUGGUGCCACUAUUUGUUACCCCAUGAAUUUGUCCUUUAUUCGGACCACGAGGCCCUCCAUUACCUCAACUCCCAGAAGAGAUUAAGCUCUAGGCAUGGUCGUUGGAUUGAAUAUUUGCAGGUUUAUUCAUUUGUUUUAAAAUACAAGAAGGGCGUGGAGAACCAAGCAGCUGAUGCAUUAAGUCGUCAUGUCUCCCUUUUGUCGAUCAUGAGUGUCAAGGUCAUCGAUUUUGAAAUGCUUAAGGAGGAUUACGAGACAUGUCCCGAUUUUAAGGAUAUCUUUCUCGAUUUGCAAAUGGGACAAUCAAACACCACAGAUGACUUCCGACUUGAGGAGGGUUAUCUCUUUCGAGCCAAUAAAUUGUGCAUCCCUCGAACUUCAGUGCGAGAUUUUAUAGUGUGGAAAGUUCAUGCGGGAGGGUUAGCCGGUCACUUUGGACGUGAUAAGACUAGGGGUGGGCGCGGGUCGGUUCGGUUCGAUUCUAAAGAGAUCUGAACCGAACCAAAAUUUUCGGGUAUCUAGUAAAUGGAACCGUCGGAGGUCACAGUUUCGAUCGAAGAUUUGAGGGUCACAGCGUCGGCUGACGAUUGUAUAGGUUUUGGAAUGUUAGCAAGGCUGCGAGAGUCGAGACAACGUUAUACACUUUAGUAUAGGUGUUUAUGGUUAUUUAGUGGAUUGGAUCUUGUUGGACUAAGAAAUAAAACAAUAAAAUGGUUAAUUGGGCCAAAAAUUAAAAAAUUAGAAAUGAAACAAAUUAUUGGGCCAAAAAUUUGGAUUUAGAAAUUGUUAAUUUGUUUAGAAAAAAUUAAAAUUAAAAUAAUUUGAUUUACUCAAUAUAAAAAAAAUUAGAAAUAUUCGGUUCUUAUUCGAUUUUUCGGUUCUUGGUCUAGAAUCGAGAAUCGAACCGUACCCAUCGGUUCUCAAUUCAAAUACCUGUUCGGGUAUUUAAUUUGACAAGAACCGUCGGGUUCGGUUCAGUUCGGUACGGGUUCAGUUCGAUCGGUUCGAUUCGGGAGAUUUGCCCAGCCCUAGAUAAGACCAUAGAGGAAGUUGAAUGCCAAUUCUAUUGGCCUAGCUUGAAGAAAGAUGUGGCUAAAAUUGUUAGUACAUGUAACACUUGUCAAUUGAGUAAACAGAAGAGACAGAACACAGGUCUAUACACCUCUCUUCCCGUCCCUAAUUGUCCUUGACAAGAUGUUCGUAUGGAUUUUGUAUUAGGCCUUCCACGCACCCCAAAGAAACAUGAUUCUAUUUUUGUGGUUGUCGAUCAUUUUUCGAAAAUGGUUCAUUUUAUCCCCUGUAGCAAGACCUCAGAUGCGUCUAAGGUGGUCAUGUUGUUCUUUAAUGAGAUUGUUAAAUUGUAUGGGUUUCCUAAGACUAUUUAUUGUGUUCGAUAGGGAUGUUCAUUUCACUAGCCAUUUUUGGAGGACUUUGUGACAAAAGAUGGGUACCAAAUUGAAAUUUUCUACGGCCUACCACCCUCAGAUUGACGGUCAAACUAAAGUAGUUAAUCGAAGUCUUGGUAACCUAUUACGUUGUCUGGUCCGGAAAAAUCUUCGAAAUUGGGAUUUGAUCCUUCCUAUAGUUCAAAUUGCGUAUAAUAGCUUCAUAAAUCGUUCAUUAGGUAUGAGUCCAUUUGAAGCCGUUCAUGGGUACAAGCCUAGGAAACCAUUGGAUCUCAUCCCUAUGUCCCCACAGGGUAGAGUGUCAGUGUCAGCCGAAGCAUUUGCACAACAUCUUCGGGAUUUGCAUAUUGAGAUCAAUAAACAACUUGAAACUAGUAAUGCAAAAUAUAAACUCCAAGCUGAUUUACAUAAACGACAUAUUAAGUUUAACAUUGGGGAUUAUGUUAUGGUCCGCAUUAGGCCAGAGCGACGUCUAUAUGGACCCGCUUCCAAAUUGCAAGCUCGUAGUGUUGGUCCUUUUAAGAUUUUAAAGCAGAUUGGUCCAAAUGCAUAUGUUGUUGACAUUCCACCAAGCCUUGGUUACCACUCUACUUUCAAUGUUGAGGAUCUAGUAGCUUAUAAAGGCUAUUUCAUUCCCUCAGAUGAUCAUUUGUUACCUCCUUUUGUGGACCUUGAUCCCUAUUAUUUGGCCACUUCUAACCCACUACCACCUCUCAUAGCACACACAGAUAAAAUUGAUACUAUUUUAGAUGAAAAAAUUGUGUUUACUAAUGAUGGAGAGGUUCAGCGCUUCCUCGUUCGUUGGGUUGGUCGACCAGAUUCUGAUUGUACAUGGAUCUCCAGAAAGACACUACAGCAAUUGGAUCCAAAUUUAUUGGAGUUUUAUCGGAGUCAGCAGGAUUUUCCUUGGCCUAGAUCGCCUCUCGUUCACCCAAGGGGAGUUGGUGAGGAUAUCAGGUUCAGACCUCCACUGACACAUUUCUACAGAUGUCGGAAGAAGUUUGCCCAACCACUCAGCUUAUGGUUGGGAGAUUGAUGACCGCCUAUAGUGAUAUAUCCACUCGACAGGGACGAGUUUUCUCCCACCCCGGGAGAGUUGAUGACGACAUCGAAUAUUUAUUAAUAUUAUUUUCUAGUUAAACUUUAUUUAUUUUCUUGGACUAUUAUUUAGAAAAUUGGACUUGUAUGGACUCGGGCCCAAUCUCGUUAGGGUUUGCUUUACUAUUAAACAUACUUUGCUUUGUAAUUUUUAGUUGAUGAAUGAAUAAUUAUUUUGGUGGCUUAUGGCGCAUCCCUCUCCUUCUUCCGCCUUCUUUUGUUGAAUUAUUCUCCUCCCCCUCCCCUAAUUCCCUAUUCUUUCUAAAUUUGUCUUCUUUUUCUAUUAAUCAUCCUAUAGAUGCUGCAUCAAUUGUGGCAAUCAAAUAUCAAUUCGAUCUUCUUCUUCCACUCCAAGUAGGCUUCCAGAUCACUCAUUACUUUGAAUGAAGGAAUUGUCAUUUUGAUAUUGCACAUACUUCUGUCUAUUCUAUCUCCACCAAGAUCUCUAGCCCUCAUUUCAUGCCCAACUUCUCUGUCAUUCAUUCUUCCUAUCUCGGCGUCCACCAAUGUUCAUUGAUCAAUGUCAUUACUUGCUCAUAUUCUACACGAUUCUCCACCCUAGGCUUCUGCCUACCCUAUUUUAUUGCAUUGGAAAACUCUCCUACGUAAAUUGACAAGCAAUGGGCCUUGCCUUUCCGUCCAUACCUACUACUUAUCCAACCUACCCCUUACAUUUUCAAAUAACCUCUCGAACCGUCAUAUCAAUUCUUCCGUCAUGUUAACUUGAUUGUUGCUCCUGCUUGAUAUAGAAUCGUCCUUGUCAGACAUCCCGAAUCUAUAAUAAUAUUUGCCUCACAUGUAUACACUCGUAUAUCACUCAAAUUGAUUUUUUCCCCUAAUAAUUUCACCGCUCUUAUUUUUUUCCAUUCAAUACUUUCGUCCAAGUGCUUCAAAAAACUAAUUCGAUCUAAACCAAGUUUUAUUCUUAAAAAAUUUGAACUAAGAUGUGAGGAGAAUUUGUAACUUUAGAAGACUCAAGGAGAAAUAAUGAAAACAAAUGAACUUGACACUUUGAAUGAGAACUGAUAUGUAAUCCAAGAAAGUGGUUCUUGAAUUCUGAUUGGGCACCUUUAAUUUCUUUUUCUUUUUUGGGGCUUUUUUUUAUUGUGACUGCCCUAUUUUUCUUUUUUCUUUUUUUGGAUUUUUUCUUUUUGCUAAAUGCAAAAGAAUUUAACAAGGAACCCAAAGAUUCGAAAAUAAAUUGCUUUGAACACUAAGCCUAGUUUGAUUCCCAUUCUUUUCAAAAUACAUUUUUUUCUCUAUUCUUUUUAACUACACAUUAUUCAUUAAAGUAAUAUUACACAUAAAUCAAAACUUUUUCUCAUAUUUCAACCAUACAUUUUCCAUCAAUUUACUACUCGUUGUACAAAUUAUAUUGUACACAAUAACAUCUUGUGAAUGUUUGCCGUCAAAUUGCAAUGUAUAUCACUUUUGAGGUAUAAAUUAUUUUUCUUUUUUAGUAUUUUUCAAACAUAAGCCUUUGUUUUGAUCCUAUUUUAGGAGAAAUAAUGCAUUUUUAAUAAUAGAUUGUUGGAAAAUAUAGAGUUAAAAAUUAAAGAAAAAUUUUAAAUUUACUUGUUAUUUUAUUAAAAAAAUAUGUGAUUAAAAAUAAUUUUUAAAAAACUAAAUUUUUAAAAGAAUGAGAAUCAAAACUAAAUUUUAAAAAGAAUGAGAAUCAAACCAUGAAUAUAUAUUUGUUUGCAUCGUGAAAACAAGGCGAGUGGUUGAGACGAAAGGAAAAUAUAGGAAAGUCAAAAUCGUGUCGGUGUCGGUCACAGACUCGCAAAAGAAGGGUCAUCAUCGUAAAUAUGUCGACAGAAGAAGGAUAAUAUAGGAAUUUAACAAUUUCUCCGUACUCUCAACAAAGCACAUGGUACUAUUGCAGGAAUCGAGCGCUGAUCUAUAAUUCCCGCGGCAUUUAACGCGGCGUUGGUUUUGGCUUUAGGCCCCCCACUCUCUCUCACUCUCUCACACACACAGUUGAAUAGUUGAUCAUUUCUUGAUGAAGAGCAAAAUGAUAUCAUUAUUUGAUUGACAGAUCGCAGUAUAUAUGAAUGUUUUUGAACUUCAACUUGAAGAUACAGCUUGUAAUGAAGCAGAAAUUGAUCAAUUGAUUCUUCAGAGGUAAAUUAACGUCUGAAUUAUCUUAGUAGAACAAGAAGAAGCUGAAUCUGAGAUGAUAAUUUUCUUCAAGAAGAAGAAGCGGAAAUCAAAUCUCGGAAUAUGAAGUUUUAUAUUUUUACGACUGGAUUAAAGAGAUUGAGUAUAUCGGGUAGUGCUGCCGGUGGAAUUUUUGGCAGGUGAUGAAGGGUAAGAAUUCACCGCACAAGGCGGUUACUCGCCGGAUUUGUCAACGGACGGUGGUUAUGCCGGCGAUCUUGUUGAUUGGAUUAAUUUUGCCUUUUCUCUUCGUUCGAAUUGCUUUUCUUGUUCUUGAGUCCGCCACAGUUUGCUCUUCCUCCAUAGGUAAUUUUGAGCGUGUUUGGCUUAGCUUAUUUCUAAGUUUUUUUUACUUAUUUUCUGGUAAUGCUGUAAUCUUGGUUCUUGUGUUGUAUAUAUUUGUAUGUCUAAACGUAUUUAAUUAUUCUGCAGAGUGUAUGAAAUGGAAGUUUUUCGGCGGGAGCAAUGCAACUCUAGUAAGUAAUUUUGUUUACCGAACUUCGAUUUGUCACCUAUUAUUUUACAUUUUACGACAUUAUUUAUUUACGGAAUUCAUUUUCAAUCAUACAAUUUUCAUUAAAAUAAUAUUAUAUACAAAUAAAAAACUUUUUUAUUCUUUUUUAAUUACACAUUCUCUACUAUUUCAUAAUAAAAUUUUCAAAAUUUACCUGAAUGUCAAAUUACCCUUUCCAGUUCUUAUGCAUAGACUCUUUGCUCAAUAGGGGCAUCAUUGGUAUUUCGACAAAACUAAGGGCCUGUUUGGUAACACAAUGUAUUCUGAGUUAGAAAAUAUAAAUGUCCGUGAUUAACCUUCACUAGAUGCAAGUUGUAUGUUUUCCUAGUCCCGCGUGAUCGUAGUCUAAUUCUUUUCUAUUAACAUGGAUAGUUUUGUUACUUUCUAAAUGUAAAAUGAACUGAAAUUGACCAUUUUAUCUAACAGUAAAAUUGAACCGAAAUUGAAAUUUCCCAGUGUUAAUUUUGUUAUCAUGACAAUAUAAUUAAGGAAUGUAGGUAACCAAAUAGAAAGAAAGAAAAUGAUGGGUUGGAGAUAAUGCUUUCAACAGUAUCUUCCACUUGAAUUGAUGACGUCAAAAGUUUGUGGGCAUUUACCAAUUCUAUCUGUCCCACGUCAACACGGUUUUUAGAAAUAUUAUGACAUUUUACUUGUUUUGUCUGAUGGCUGAUGCUGACGAUGUUUUUGGAUGCUAUGAAAAAGCUCAGAGAAGAGUUGACAAGGGCCUUGCUGGAGGCAACUAAUUCUGUUGAUGAUAAGAGUGGAAUUGCAACAGUAGAGGGCUCAAAUUCACUAUCGUCUUUCGAGGAUCUUGUGAGGGGCAUGAUGUCAAACAGACAGGACAUUAAAAACUUCGCUUUCAACACCAAAGCCAUCGUAAGUGGAUCUGUAUAAAUAAAUAAAGGCUUGGUACCUGCACUCGUUUAUGCGGAAUUAGGUAUAUCUGGUGCCGGUUUCCUGAAGUGUAUAAAAACUUUUAUUUAGGAUAAGAUGCACACUCGAGCAAUUCGUAGAGGAUGUGAACACUGGUGGUUUAGCUGAGCAUAUGGACUAUAUGAAGAAAUCGAUGCAUAAACAUGAAUUGAGUGCAUUGGUUAUUCAGUGCAUGUAUUGUUGGGAGAGCUUAUAAGGAGCUUUGAAGUUUGAAGCACUCCGCAACAUGCUCGAAGUCUUGGGGUUCUUAGCCCAAGUCUUUACAAGUUGAAUAUUAUUUUCAUGUUUAAGCUAUGUGGAUUUUUAUCCUCAAUAUAUUUAGUGUGGCUCAUUUGAAAAUAUUAAUCUUGAAAUCUAACGGCUUGUAUGAGAUUUUCAGAUGGAUAGAAUCAAGCCCGCUAAGAUGGGUGCAACCAUGUUGACCAUCUUCUGGUAAAUUAUAAAAUUUUAAAUGAGAUGGUUAACAUGAUGGUGAGCCAGGCAACACUUUGGGUUCAAUUUUGUGCAAGUGUUGGAUCUUUGGUCAAAAAAUACAUUUGGUCUGCACGUGGGGGUGGCUUGAUGAAUACAAGAUUAAAUGGAUAUACGAGGCCAUUUCUAAUAGUUUAAGCUUUUAAAUGAGUAGGUUAACAUAGGAAUCUCUUGUUGUGUGCAUACACUUUUUCCCUCAGCAAGAAUAAAUGCUACCCAUGCUUCUCAUCUGUAUGUCUAUUGUCUAGUUUUGCAAUACCAUUUUGUUCGAAACACGCAAAAACUUUUAACCACUUUUGAAUGGUUUCAGCUAAGUUGAAGCAAAAGCCACGAAGUAACUAUAAGAUAGGAGGAAGAUUUAUUAAACUGAAUUUAGUCAGUUUCUUUUAUCAUCAUUCCCAAAGCCCUCUUGUGGAUUUUUCUGGUGAAAUAAUCCUUGUGAAUUAGUGUGAAAUUUUUGAAUUUUCUGUAAUACCAUAAAGUUUUAUUUCUUCUGGGAAAUUAUUAUAUUGAGUUCCAGUCUGUUAUAGCCUCCUGCUGUUAGAAUUGAAUCCUUGCUACACCUGGUGUACGUCAUCUAGUUGUUACGAUCACAAUUUAUGGCGUAUUAAACACAUCCUGUCCAUGUUAAAGAGACCACACUUAUGUUGAAGGAACCCAUCCUUGCAUUAACACAAUGUGCUGCCAUGUUUUCCGACCUUUUUAAACAUGCAUUUCAGAACUGGGCACUGUAGCAUUUGUAGCAAGAAACUAACUAGUUAUUACACUCAUGUUCAACAAACAUUUUUUUUUUUUUAGGUAAUUAAAUAUUUUAUUAAUCAUACUUAUAAAAAAAAAAAAAAUUAUUAAUCACGGAUAAUACAUAGGAAGUUUAUUAUCAAUUUAUAUAAAAAAGAAACAACAUAAAAUUAGGUAGCCUGUCUAUACAAGUAAUAGGUGUCGCAUUAAACCAGGUAUACAAUGUCAAAUAAAAUAAUUCUUUAAUUUGCUCUGUUGUCCAUGUAUGAUGAUCAAAACAACGGCUAUUUCUUUCCCUCCAUACACAUUGUAUAGAAUAAGGUCCCAAAGAAUCUUGCUAUCUUUAUUACGAAAUUUUAUCCUCGAUGACUUCAAUACAUCUUCCAUACGCAAUACAUCUUCCAUACGCCGCGAUAACACCCAGUACAUGUGUUGAGAGGCCAGAAUAUUGUUCUAUAGCAAACGAGCACCGUCACAGCGAAGAAAUAAGUGGUCAAUCGUCUCCUCAUUCCUCCUACACAUAUAACACCACUCCAUAACAUAAAAGCCACUUAUUCGGAGGUUAUCCAUUGUUAACACUUCUUUCCUCAAAAUUGUCCAUAGUAAGAAUGCCACCCGAGGGGACAGUUUACAUUGUCAUACCAUCUUCCAGGGGAAUGAGCUCUUUACAGGUCCCAAUAAUGAUCUAAAAUAAGCACGAAUUGAGAAAAUAUUAUUCCGUGCCAACCUCCAUCCAUUAAAAUCAGCCCCUCCUACUCUGAUGUGCGCCUCAUGUUCAACAAACUUUGAGCAUCUCCACCAUUAAAAUGUUCUUACAAUCUCGUAUUUCUAUUUGGCACAUCUUGGAUAGUCACUGACAUAAAAGGUGUCAUCAGAUUAAAAACAUUUGUGAAUUUGUGCAUCUACGCUGACAAAGUGGAAGUCCCUAUUUAUUUUAAUGCACCAGGGUUAAACUUACAUGUAAUUUGAAUAUGUAGUUUUUAUUUGAUUUCUAUGGAAUUAUCUUGCUGUAACUCAUUGCAUCAGUAUAAUGUUUAUCAUUGUUUUGUGGCAUGGCAAGGCACUUAAUUCCUUUUCCCUUGACAUGGUUACAAUUUUACAUUAAAGGUUAGCGAGAUGGAAGCUAUUCUUCAAGCGCACAACUGUUCUGUGCCUGCACGUGAAAUUCUGGAAGCUCUUGCUCAGAAGUUUAGGUAUGUAGGAGAUAUGCUGUGGCUAAUAAUUUAAAUACUUGGAGUCCGCUAAUGAAUAUCUGAAAGCUUGGCUGUGGUGUAAUUUUUUUUGAUAUAGUGCUUCAGCUGAAAGAUCCGGAGUGGUUGAGGUUACGGUGAAACAAGUAAAUAACUUCCCUUUAUGCACAUGCUUAAUUUUUUAAUUGAUCUUUCUGUAACUUUAAUUAUUCGCAAAAGGUGUGGAAUUGGUUCCAAAAUAGGCGAUAUGCUAUUAGAGCAAAAGCCUCGAAGACUGUCGUUCCUGCACAGACAAACAUGCCUGCCAUGCCUCGAGAUGAUCCAACUACAGUUAGAACUACAGCUCAGACCUCUCAAACUCAGCCUGCUCCUUCAAGUAUUAUUGAAUUGUCUCAUGUUAAGAAGCUUCUAUAUCAAUUUUUUACUGUCAUCAAAUUUAGCAAGCUUUUCCAGGUAUUUUGCUGCUUGUAUUUGGUUCUAAUUUGUAUCAUACUUUCAUCCAGCUCCAGUGAAAAAUAUGCCUCAAGUACCCCAUCCUAUUACUGCUCCUUCAGGUAGAUAUUAAGCUGUUGAUGAAUUUUUUAUUUUUGUUUCUUCACAACAUCUUAAUAUGAAAAAUAAGUUCUUAUAUGUGAUUAUUAGUGCUUUUUAUCUUUGGUGAAUCAAGUGCACAUCUCCCCUGGUAUUAUUAUUAUUAUUAUUAUGAUCAUCAUCAUCAUCAUCCUAUAGUUUUUGCAAUAGUAGCAAGACUUGGACUUGAUGGGAAAAAAAUUACCGCUAGCAACCAAUCUUGACCAUCUUCCGUUUGAGAUCUCAGUUUCUAGCAUAAAAUCAAAAUUUGACAGUUCUCUACUACUACUUUAUGAAUGUUUAGUUAUUUUAAUUUCUAGAUGAGAAUUGACUAUUGAGGUAAAAGUUUCAAUUUACAUUUGUUGGAUGAAUGAUGGUGUUUAUUGUUUACUUCUUUUCUUAAUCUGAGCUUUUGUUACCUUCUUUUUAUUGUUUAUUGUUAGUGCAUUAUCCAUUGUUUCCAUAGUUUAAUUUUUUAGUGUUGUAACCUCUUCGUCUGCCUAUUCAAAAGUUACUAAUCGAUCACGAAUGAUAUGCAUACAUCCUCUCACCUUGGCUAUAUCUUCCCUUACACUUUUCAAAUGGUAGUGAUGUCGCUCGAUAGGACAAGUAAGAAACGUCUAGAGUUUUCUUUAAGAGAGAGAGUCUUAAUCAUAACUUGAUUUCACUCUUAAUUGGAGAUCUAAUGGACUUACACUUAUUCAUAACAUCAAGAACAUGUUUCUAACCGACAAUGUCCACCUACCUGAUCAUCUAGUUAUAGUCAUAAUAACCAAUUAGCCC
rnacentral:lncRNA from 1 species